rnacentral:rRNA from 1 species
AGAGUUUGAUCAUGGCUCAGAAUCAACGCUGGCGGCGUGCCUCAGACAUGCAAGUCGAACGCGAAAGUCCCCUUCGGGGGGCAAGUAGAGUGGCGCACGGGUGAGUAACACGUAGGUAAUCUACCUUUGGAUGGGGAAUAACAACCGGAAACGGUUGCUAAUACCGCAUAAUGCAGCGGCACCUAAUGGUGACAGUUGUUAAAGCGGGGGAUCGAAAGACCUCGCGUCUAAAGAGGAGCCUGCGGCGGAUUAGCUAGUUGGUAAGGUAAUGGCUUACCAAGGCUACGAUCCGUAACCGGCCUGAGAGGGCGGUCGGUCACACUGACACUGACAUACGGGUCAGACUCCUACGGGAGGCAGCAGUCGGGAAUUUUGGGCAAUGGGCGAAAGCCUGACCCAGCAACGCCGCGUGAAGGAUGAAAUCCCUCGGGAUGUAAACUUCGCAAGAACGGGAAGAAUAAGUAGGGGACAAUACCCCCUAUGAUGACGGUACCGUUUGUAAGCUCCGGCUAACUCCGUGCCAGCAGCCGCGGUAAUACGGGGGGAGCAAGCGUUGUUCGGAUUUACUGGGCGUAAAGGGCGCGUAGGCGGCCAGCACAAGUCAGUUGUGAAAUCUCCGAGCUUAACUCGGAAAGGUCAACUGAAACUGUGCGGCUAGAGUGCGGAAGGGGCAACUGGAAUUCUUGGUGUAGCGGUGAAAUGCGUAGAUAUCAAGAGGAACACCUGCGGCGAAGGCGGGUUGCUGGGCCGACACUGACGCUGAUGCGCGAAAGCCAGGGGAGCGAACGGGAUUAGAUACCCUAGUAGUCC